UACGGAGGAUCCAAGCGUUAUCCGGAUUUAUUGGGUUUAAAGGGUGCGUAGGCGGCUUAUUAAGUCAGAGGUGAAAGCCUGGAGCUUAACUCCAGAACUGCCUUUGAUACUGAUGAGCUUGAGUACAGUUGAGGUGGGCGGAAUGUGUCAUGUAGCGGUGAAAUGCUUAGAUAUGACACAGAACACCGAUUGCGAAGGCAGCUCGCUAAACUGUAACUGACGCUGAGGCACGAAAGCGUGGGGAGCAAACAGG
rnacentral:rRNA from 1 species